rnacentral:rRNA from 1 species
UACGUAGGGUGCAAGCGUUAAUCGGAAUUACUGGGCGUAAAGCGUGCGCAGGCGGUUUUGUAAGUCUGUCGUGAAAUCCCCCGGGCUCAACCUGGGAAUUGCGAUGGAGACUGCAAGGCUAGAAUCUGGCAGAGGGGGGUAGAAUUCCACGUGUAGCAGUGAAAUGCGUAGAGAUGUGGAGGAACACCGAUGGCGAAGGCAGCCCCCUGGGUCAAGAUUGACGCUCAUGCACGAAAGGCGUGGGGAGCAAACAGG